GCGGGAUUAGUUUAGUGGCAGAACUGGUGCUUCCCAAGCAUCGGGCGGGAGUUCGAUUCUCCCAUCCCGCA
rnacentral:tRNA from 1 species